rnacentral:lncRNA from 1 species
AUUGCUAGAAAUUGUUUAGAGAAAUAAUUGAUUAUGAACUUACCCAUGGAUGCACUAGGAUUGGCCGAGCCACACUUAGAUUCGAAUGUAGUCUGUGUGGAUUCCAGUACCCGCUAAAGAAUUAAUGUAAUUUCUCGAAUUAGAGGUAGAUGCUACCAAUUUGUAUAAAAUAGUGGGAGUACCUUUAAACUAAAGUUCAUAUCUUUAGGAUUAAAAUAAUUCAUAUACUAAUAGAUUUAUAUUUUUUCUUUUCAGCUAUGGUU